rnacentral:lncRNA from 1 species
UUUUGAAUCUCUUUUCUUAUACCUGAAAGACUGCUUCAACUCUCCAAUUCCCUGGGUGUAUAAUAGAUGGAACUGAGUUAAUUAUAUUAUUUUUUAUCAUAUUGAGUUUUUCAAUUGUUUUUGUUACAAAAGUAAAGUUACUACACAUAUAUAAUCUGCCAUUCACAAUAUCUAAUUUAGGACUCAGGAAUAACAACAUUAUAACUUUUAGUCAGCACAGCUCAUGUAAACGUGUUCCAAAAUAGCGGUUCCCCAUAUUUUUUUCUCCAUGACAUGUGUGACAGACAACAUUCACAAGCUCACAUCCUCCUGCGGACGAGAUCACCUUGAGGCUGCACUGGUCUUCCCAGCUGGAAUCAACUCUCUCCAACCGAGAUGGAUGUCAAAAUGCAAAUAAACUGCAAACCUGUUGGAAGUAAUGAAGGGGCACUGGGGAGAAGCAAGAAGCCUCACAGAGCCAGCCACCUAAAUCCUGCUCCAGAACCCGAGCUCGCUGAAAGCAGGCCCCAGGCACCCCUGGCUGCAGUGAGGACGAAGGAGCCCGCGCCACAGUCUCCUCUGCGCCACCUGAGCUCCGGGCCCGCGCACAAGCACAAGGCGGGGGACCCCUGAGCGGCCUCGGGUGGCCGGGGACCCUCGCUGGACACAGCAGAUCUCGAGGCGGGGAGCAGGCUUUGCCUUUGGGCCGGGGCCGGGCGACCCGCCGCAGCUCAGGCAGAGUGCCGCCCGGUGACCCGGAGCCUCCCUAGUCCCGGCCACUCUCCUGAGAGGAGGGGACGGGAAAGGAGAGGACGGCGGGGCGGGGCCUGCCACCCAAAGUCCCCAGCCCAGGGACGUCAUGGUCCCAGGUGCGUGUGCGACGGGGGGCGGGAGUCCACCGCGCGCCUCCCUCCGCCGAGGAAUUCCCACCUCAGCGCCAGCAGCUCGGGCUGGCUCCCUGUUCCGUUUUUCUCGCGGCGGCCGCACCUGGCACUGCGCCCCUGGGCAGGGCGGCACCCACCCCAAAUUGUAUCUUCUGCAAGUCUCCCCCAAAGAAAAAGUCUUUGUCCUUUUAGACA